AUGGAAUUUCGCCUUGUUGCCCAGACUGAUCUCAAACUCCUGGGUCAAGUGAUCCACCAGCCUUGGCCUCCCAGAGCGCUACGGUUACAGACAUGAGCCACUGCACCUGGCCGAUAUUGAGAUUUUAAAACACUCCUCCUGCCCCACCACCCCCCUGCACCCCACCUGCUCUGGGUACUAGAGGGAGCAGAAAAGGCAACUGAGUUGCAAGACACAUACUACACAUUUGCAAGGAUUCACAGGAAGGCAACUAAUUUUAAGAGAAGCAUUUUGUGGUAACAAAGAAGAGGGAAGAAUGCCUAAGUGAAUGACAAUCGUAGAAACAGCCAAUUAACUGGUAAAUCCCUGUGGUCUGCAAGCUGAACCAGGAACGAGUGCGGGAGGAGGAAAAGCAGCUGCAGCCCAAUUAAACUCAGUAGCUCAGAUACCUCCGGAGGAUUCUUACUUGUGGUUUACCUAAACAGACCUGCUUUCUCAGAGAUCUUAGGAGACCGCUAUACAGAAGCACAGACUCUGAUGAUUUCCUUCUUUAUUAUUGUGGGCAACUGAGCUAAAAUAUGCAUAUAAGCAAAUUAAGAAGAUGGGAGGGUCACCAGCCUCAGAAAACAUACUUUUCUUGGCCUCUGGGUAGAAGACAGAGGGAGACUGCUGGAUCCUGCAAUAAACCAGACUAAAGCAACCGUAUACACGCACAGUCCAACAGCUGGAGGAAAUAAUUUCAGAACUGGCAUCCACUUAGCAAGUCUUUGAGAAUCCAACUGAUCCUUCAAUUAAUGAGUUCAGAGAAUCCAGAAUACCCUGUUUUGAAAUGGGCUGUCACAGAAAGAUGAUGUUAUGCAACCCUAGGGGUUGGGCAUCCUGGUCAGGCCCAUGAAAUAUUCUCUUUGCCUGUUUUUUCAUGUUUCCUUUUUCCCAUAUUUCUUCCAUAUGGACAGAAUUUUCCAACUUCAAUUCCUGACCAAAAUACAGACUUCAUCUUCAUUCAAUAAAUCCCUAUGAAGAGCUUGACUCAUCCCUAGAGCACUGCUCAACUAGGGAAGAUUCUCUCAGUCUGGUCCUGGACUAUCUGAGUCCAGGGCUGAAUUAAGCCACCUGGGCUGCUUGCUUAAAAGA
rnacentral:lncRNA from 10 species